GUGCCCGCUUUGGCAGCACGAAGACUAAAAUUGGAAUGUACAGAGAUUAGCACAGCCUCUGCGCAAAGAUCACACGCAAAUUUUGUGAAGCAUUUCAUAUGUGG